rnacentral:lncRNA from 1 species
CGGGACAAACACUUAUAGGCAGAUGCUAUUAGAAAGCCAGAGGUUCAGGCUGGAGGGUUCCAGGGAGAUGUCCACUAGAGGACUAGCUUUCCUGGCUGCCUUUUCUUAGUGGUUUUGGGUUGUGGCACUUGAAAGAGGUCCUAAAGUAUCCCCCAGGCUAUUUACUGACUGUUCUAACCAGAGGUGGCCCACUGGAGUCUCCCACUGGGUAAGACCAAUAGACACAGUUUGUUUGGAAUGUAUUCUGCUACAUUUUUUUUUUCUUUUUAAAGAAAAAGAAAAAUGGCUACUUUUAAAGCUAGGAAAUUCGUGUCAAAAUCCAGGGUUGUGUUUUCUCUUGAAAAGUUGAAAGGCUGAGCAAGAAAAGAUUUUAUUCCCCUGGGAACUACGAAUGCACAGGAGCUGAGUAUUUUGCCCUUUAAGAUGGAACUUUUUUUUCUCUCUAGGAACCUUUACUCAGAUUGUUUUUGCCUGAUUCCAAAAGGCUUUUGGAUUGCUUCCUGUUCUUUACAGUUUGUGCUUAGAAUUCAUUAGAGAUUCUCUUCUUUUAUAAAAUAUUAUAGCAACCACUAGCAACACCAAGAUGUAUAACUGGGAAAGAAGUGGAGUCUUCCUUUCUUUGUGGUCAAUUUUCCUGCUAUACAGUUGACAAUAAUUGUUUUUGAGUAUUUGGAAUAUUUUGGGAACUGGACAGAAAGAAAUGAAAAGAAAAAAAUAAAUCGUGUUGACUCUAUGCUUUUGCCUUUGACAGGAGAUGAAUGAUUUUUUACUCUAGCCCUACUUGCUUCUAUUCAUUCAUGUGAUUUAUAUGAUAACCUGCAGUUUCUGUCUUGUGAGCUUUCUAAAUCCUACUUCCCACUUUCCCACAAGCUCCCUCCUACCCUUUUAUUUCUUAUCUCUGAAAUGGACUCUCUUUACUUUGAACUCAGUGUGAGAGGUUAGAUAGAUUUGGAAUCCAAAACUACAUUAGAAACAGACAAUCCUUUUUUUAGGUUCAUAAAGUGCUUACUUCAUGGCUGUCAAGUAAAACACUUGGCUUUUCUGUGGUUCUGUUACUCCAUAUGUAUUUGGGUCAUAAUAUAAAUCACCACUAGAAGUUAUUGUUAAAGAGCAAGAACUAUUGCAAAGGGACAGUACUUCUGCUCUCUUCUGCACUAUGAUUGCUUUGAAAAGCUGCCUUGUGAACAUCAUAGACAUCAGUAGCAAAGCCACAGAAGAACAUUAAUGUGAAAGAGGAGAAGAACCUGGUGAGGGGAGAAUGGUAGCGGAAGACUCAGAAUAAUUCCAGUGCUGCUGAAAAUGUCAUGCUGUUGGUUUUAGAAGGAGGAUUUGGGAGCAGGAAGACUUAAAUUCAACUUACCAAACACUUAUGUGUUAUACAUUUUGCUACAUGUUGGCGACAUAGAGAUAGGAACACAUUUUAUCAAUGAGAUAAUUUGUGUAAAGCAUUUAUCAUCAUGCCUGGAACAUAAGUAAGUAGUAAAUAUAUGAGAACUAGUAUUAUUUAUUUAACAUAACAUAAUGAUUGUUAAGCUUGGACUUUAAGUUUGAAUACUAACUUUGCUGCUAUUGAUGUGGCAAGUGACAUAACCACUCUGGGCCUCUGUCUUUAAUGGUCUCUUUCCAUUAGAGUGUGUGACACAUACUUUAACAUAUAGUCUGGCACAUAGUAAGUGCAGUGAAGGUUGUAUAUGUGUUUAGUUUCACCUAUUUACUAAAAUCUGUAACUCAAUAUCAAGGCACUAUUAUGGUCACUUACAAACAUGGCAGAGCAACAAAAAGAGCCCAAAUCAGUUUUUUUUCCCAACACGUGUUCCCAACUGAGGUUAAACAAAGCCAUACUUUGCAUUCUUAUUUCUGCUCUCAUACUGUAAACAUGAUCUAUUUAAUGCUAUUUUUUCUGCAUUUCUUGUGUGUGUAUGGUUUUAUUUAUUUGUUUUUGUUUGUAUAUGUGAUAUUGUUGUUAAAACAGGCUUUAAGCAUUGUACCAAGGUGCUGGCUAGAAUGCCUAAGUGCAAGAGGGCUGUGAUAAACUUUACAGAAAAAUCAUGUGUGGUAAAUAUGCCUUGUUCCGGUAUGGGGUAUACUGCUAUUGGCUGUAAGUUCAUAAAUCAACAAUAUAUAUUAAGUUGUUUUUAAAAAGAAAUGCACAUAAAGCAAGUUUAUGUAUUGAUUGGUCCAUGAAAAUAUUGUGACUAGAGGUUCACAAGUAUCUAAUACUAUUUCCUCUAGGAGAAAUGGUUCAAAAUUCACUAAUGGAGUGUUGGUGGCAACUUUAUAAAACAUGUAAAUAAUGAGACUCGACUGUAAAAUGUGAGAAAUACUGACAUUUUCUGCAGCUGGGCUGUACUGCUAACAUACAUCUUGUUUUUCUUCCAUGUCCAACCAGUCACCAAGAUCUGUGCUAAAAAAGCUGCAUAAAAUUCAGAGUAUGUAAACUUCUGGAAGAACAAUGUCCUUGACCAUUUUGUUUUUAUGCAUUUGGGUCAUCAUUGUUAACUUUCUAGUAACUUAUUUU